rnacentral:rRNA from 1 species
UACGUAGGUGACAAGCGUUGUCCGGAUUUACUGGGCGUAAAGAGCGCGCAGGCGGUCGUUCAAGUCGAGUGUGAAAGCCCCCCGGCUCAACUGGGGAGGGUCAUUCGAUACUGAUCGACUCGAAGGCAGGAGAGGGAAGUGGAAUUCCCGGUGUAGUGGUGAAAUGCGUAGAUAUCGGGAGGAACAUCAGUGGCGAAAGCGGCACCCUGGCAUUAGCCUGACGCUCAGGUGCGAAAGCGUGGGGAGCGAACGGG